rnacentral:rRNA from 1 species
GAUGAACGCUAGCUACAGGCUUAACACAUGCAAGUCGAGGGGAAACGAUAUUGGAAGCUUGCUUCCGAUAGGCGUCGACCGGCGCACGGGUAAGUAACGCGUAUCCAACCUGCCCACCACUUGGGGAUAACCUUGCGAAAGUAAGACUAAUACCCAAUGACGUCUCUAGAAGACAUCUGAAAGAGAUUAAAGAUUUAUCGGUGAUGGAUGGGGAUGCGUCUGAUUAGCUUGUUGGCGGGGUAACGGCCCACCAAGGCGACGAUCAGUAGGGGUUCUGAGAGGAAGGUCCCCCACAUUGGAACUGAGACACGGUCCAAACUCCUACGGGAGGCAGCAGUGAGGAAUAUUGGUCAAUGGGCGAGAGCCUGAACCAGCCAAGUAGCGUGCAGGAUGACGGCCCUAUGGGUUGUAAACUGCUUUUAUAAGGGAAUAAAGUGAGUCUCGUGAGACUUUUUGCAUGUACCUUAUGAAUAAGGACCGGCUAAUUCCGUGCCAGCAGCCGCCGCGG